UCUGCUGGUGGUGCCCAUAGUAACAGAAAAACAGCUGACGAAUGAACAUCACUGUAAUCUACUAAAUUUAAGAUUUAAGUUAUGUGGGGCUUGUAGGCUAGCAUUAUUUGUGCAACCUUUGAUAACUCAAGGUGUCUCCAUAUCUGAAUGUAUUGAGUUACGAACAACUUUGGAGGUCGUUUUUCUAGAACAUGUACGACAUAAAUUCGGUCAGGAUGCUGCUUGAUCCCCACGGGUAAGAGACGAAUACGGACGCAACGAGGACAUAGUGGAAACAAUUACGACGUUAUUACAAAAGGAGACAUCCACUAUCAAUCUGAGGUUAGCUGCUCCAAACAAAUCUCAUUGUCUGGAUUGUUUGCCGCAGUUCCAUGAUGAGCUUCAUGUUGCUUGUUCAACAUUUUUCCACAGCAAGGGCAUUCACGAAUAGGAGAUUUGAUGGAUGCCUUCAAUUUCUGGAGGAUUGCAAUUGUUUUUAUAAACUAAAAUUGAAUUUUCACAUUUAAAAUUUGUGUGAUUAUCUUACCUGGGUUAUGUUGUUGCCUUUUGCUUUAAUAAUUGCAAUUACUGCUAAUAUAGGAAUGGCUAAUAAAGACAGGCAAGAAAUGGCCCAACCCAUUCCUAUACUCCAUCCUGGGAAUAUAUAUUGCCCUUUGUUAUAUGUUGGAGCUUCAUAGUCAGCAAGGCUAAAAAUCCAUAUGGCCAUAAUGAGGCAGGGGGCAGCUACCAUCCAGCACCCUCUUAUAUAGUAGUUCGGUAGCUCGCCUGUCAUAUCCCGUACGUUGCGGGCCAAACGAUUAGCACCGUAUACCCAGACGAUUGCGAUUACUUCGAAGAACGCAAUGUACAUCAAAGAAAUAGCGGCGGCGUAGUAAUCAAUCAGUGUAAAAAAGUAGAUUCCACCCUUCGGAAAUAGUAAAAAUAAAUUAUUACAAACAGAAACAUGUUAAUUAAUAAAAUAUUCGUAUUACUUGCAUGACGUUUGGGAGCCCGCAUAUGAACGACACAAAGCAUACCAGUAGCACUAGAACUUCGUGGCGUUUUAAAUGAAGGCGAAUCCAUCGGCCAUAGGCAUCUUUAAUUGAAGUUAUAAUUACUUCGACCGUGGCAAAUUGACUGUCAAUUCCAAGGCAUAGCAACAUUGAAAAGAAAAUGACCGACCAUACAUGGGGAAAGGGCAUUUUGGACAAUGCGGCGGGAUAGGCGACGAAAACAAGCCCAGGUCCUAUAUCGAAACAUUAUAUAAAUGUUAUUUUUUUCACAAUAAUAGUUGAUGACAUUUCUAUGAGUUACCACUACUAACAACUUCGUCCACGCUUUUUCCUUGUUCAAAGGCUAAAUUUCCUAGUGUUCCAAACACACAUAUGCCAGCUAAAAUGCAGGUAACGGCGUCAGUAAGCGAAAUAAUCAGAGUAUCACGCAUCAAUCGGUUGUCGAAACGGUUAUAGCUGGAGAACGCCAUCAGGGAGCCAAACGCAAUCCCAAUAGAAUUGAAAUUUUGAGCUGAGGGGUUAAUAUUUUAGAUACUGUAGCAUAACUAUUUAAAAAAAGCAUUGAGUUUAUGUUUACCAGCUGCGUUAACCCAAACCUAGUUUAAAUUGCAAACGAUAUGUAUAAAUAACGUGCGAAUUAAAGAGUAUAACGAUUGCUUUUCAUAAAUACUUUGGCUUCUAGAAGUGUUUCCCACUUUGGGGAAAAGAAGUAAACGAGACCUAAUUCAGAUCCUGGCAACGUGAGAGCUCUGACAAUAAAUGCCCCUAUAAACAGGUAUGGCAAAGUAGCUGUAACGUACACAACUUUCCCGGUGGAUUUGAUGCCUUUCCACAAACAAAAGUAGACUAGAAUCCAUGCAACUGCGAGGCAAGCUAGGAGUUCCCAGCGCAUUGUACCGAAAUUGUCGAUUCCUUUAGUCAUCUGUAACAAAUGGUUGCUGUGUGGAAAUACAAGAACGUUUGUUUAAAAAACCCACAAAAAUUAUAAUUUUUAACGUGAAUAUGUACUCGUAAAAUUCUUGAGGGGCACUUGUUUUAUUGUUCGCUUCUUGAUCCUGAGAGCUAUUAAAUUUGGUCCCAUUCCAGCAGAGCUCAGAAUUCCAAUCAUUAUUGCAACCCUCCCAAGGUAAGGGAUCCAUAAAAGAAUUGAUUAAGUAAUACAGAGCCCAAGCAAUUAUGACAUUAUAGUAGGUGGAUAGAAGAAAAGACAUAAUCACUGUGGCCAAACCAGUCCCUGAAAUUGUAAAGAGAUGAUAAAUUAAAUUCUAAUACACUUUAUAUGUUUUUGGAAUGUCCAGUCAGACCUUUGAAAAGUGGGCACAUUUUGUGCAUGGCUCCAAUUGGUCCUUGUCUUGUGUACUGUCCAACAGCUAGCUCCAUAUACAGUAAUGGGAUCCCACAUACAACCUAAUAAAGAUAGAUUUUAUAACUAUUUUUACUAAUUUGUCACAACACGAGCUAAUGUUGUUCAGAAAAUUCCUUGAGUAUACCAACAUGAUGAAGUAUGGGAUCAAAAAAGCACCUCCUCCACUCUUAUAACCUGAUGUUUGGAUUGCACAAAAGAUGUUUUCAGCACACUUUCAAUUUCAUGUUUGUUUUGAAACCUAUUACUUACAGAGAUAUGGAAACCUCCACAUAUUACCCAGCCCAACAACAUUGCCGAUGCAAGCUAGAAUAAAUUCCACUUUAUUUGCCCAAGUAUCCCUGACCUCAGCUUCUUCUCCAAGCUUGUUGCUUGUGCAAACCACAAGUGGAUCUUGACACAUAACUUUCGUUUUGUCCAUUUUGCCCGUGAGAUCUAGGACGUGUUCACCGGUAUUCGUUUUACGCCUGCUGUUAUCACCGUGUCUGCGGGAUGAUAAUAAAAAAGUAAAACCUUUAA